GACGAACGCUGGCGGCGCGCCUCAUACAUGCAAGUCGAACGUGAAGCCCGGAGCUUGCUCUGGGUGGAAAGUGGCGAACGGGUGAGGAACACGUGAGGAACCUGCCCUGGAGACCGGGAUAACACCGGGAAACCGGUGCUAAUACCGGAUGCCCUCACCGGAUCACAUGAUCCGGUGAGGAAAUGGAUUCCGCUCCAGGAUGGCCUCGCGGCCUAUCAGCUUGUUGG
rnacentral:rRNA from 1 species